CGGGGGGGCGGCAGCUCCCGGGCGAGGCAGAUGGAGGCGAGCGGCGAGAGGAGCCCGAGCACUCAUGCCAGAACAGGUAGUUACUGUUGCUGGAGGUGUAAUAGUGGGGAUCCUUUUAUUUGUUCUCAUUGGAAUAACGGCAUACUUGCUCUGGAAGAAGCUUUGCCUUAUUUAUCCUUAUGAAGAGCUCCCUGAUCCAGUCAAAACAACACCUGUGAAUGCCAUUUUGCAAGAUCAGUCAUCUUCUGAAAUUCAGCCAAAAAGCACAAGGUAUAUCAUUUUGUUUUUCAAGUAGGCACUUUAACCUGGUGAAAUUCAAAUCAGCUAUGAUCUGAUCAAAUAUAUAUGUUCUGCUUUGUUCUUUUCUAAAACUAUGAAUGCAGUGACUAUUUGUAAUUUAUGUAAGAGGCAGUGUAGUCGAGCAUUAUUGGUGUAUGGAUAGCUUUAUCUGUUACAUAGACAAAUAAGGCCCAGGUGUCUGUGUUGUUCCUGGUAGUUUCAAACACAGAAUACAAAAUCUUAGCAUUAGGACUUUGGUUCUGAAAGGAGACUCUCUUAGUUUGUUACCACAGGGCUUUGAAGCUCUAAAACAAGAACCUGCAGUUCUUCAUUUUCUUUGAAAGAUUAAUUCUAAAAAAGAAGUAAGAAAAAGGUGAAGGAUCUGUAAAGACAUCAGAUCUGAGGUCCCUUGGUGGACCUCUGGGCAUUACACAGAUAUUUACAAACAAGGAUAUUUAUUUUUUCCAUCUGUGAAUCUCUAUAUUUUUUUUUCAUGUAAGUUAAGUAUCCAUAUUACUGUUACCACGUUUGAUUUCUGUAUUUAAACUAGAAGAAUCAGUAGCUGUUGAUGUCUUGAGCAGAUCCAAAAGCGUUCCAUUUAUAAUUCCACCAACACUGCAUGGGCGAGACUGGAUUAACCUGACAAAUGAAGAACAAAUUCAGGAAGACAAUAGCUCCUGCAUGACUCCCCAGUCUGGGCCACGGUCGUCAUUUCAUUCUUUGGGUAUGACAUUUCAAACAUACAGCUCUUGGAAGGGCAGCUUGAUUCUGAAGCAUGUUCACUGAAGGCAUAUCAGACACAGCAUUGCACAGCACAAGCCUACAACUACUCCCAGAUUUGAGGGAAAAGUAUUUCAGACCCGAAUAUGAUGCAAAGAUAGAUAAAUGUGAUUUCCUUAGUACAGCAGUGGUUACAAUAAUGCCCACGACAG
rnacentral:lncRNA from 1 species